UACGAAGGGGGCUAGCGUUGUUCGGAAUCACUGGGCGUAAAGGGCGCGUAGGCGGCCGAUCAAGUCGGGGGUGAAAGCCUGUGGCUUAACCACAGAAUGGCCUUCGAUACUGUUUGGCUUGAGACCGGAAGAGGUUAGUGGAACUGCGAGUGUAGAGGUGAAAUUCGUAGAUAUUCGCAAGAACACCAGUGGCGAAGGCGGCUGACUGGUCCGGUUCUGACGCUGAGGCGCGAAAGCGUGGGGAGCAAACAGG
rnacentral:rRNA from 1 species